GAGCUCACUUCUGUAGCACGUACACUAAAAUUGAAAUGAUACAGAGAUUAGCAUGGUCCCUGACCAAGGAUGAUAAGCAAAUUCAUGGUGUUCCAUAUAUUUUU